rnacentral:rRNA from 1 species
UGACGUUGGGAAAGCGAGCGGCGGAUGGGUGAGUAACACGUGGGGAACCUGCCCCUAAGUCUGGGAUACCAUUUGGAAACAGGUGCUAAUACCGGAUAAUAAAGCAGAUCGCAUGAUCAGCUUUUGAAAGGCGGCGUAAGCUGUCGCUAAGGGAUGGCCCCGCGGUGCAUUAGCUAGUUGGUAAGGUAACGGCUUACCAAGGCGACGAUGCAUAGCCGAGUUGAGAGACUGAUCGGCCACAUUGGGACUGAGACACGGCCCAAACUCCUACGGGAGGCAGCAGUAGGGAAUCUUCCACAAUGGACGCAAGUCUGAUGGAGCAACGCCGCGUGAGUGAAGAAGGUUUUCGGAUCGUAAAGCUCUGUUGUUGGUGAAGAAGGAUAGAGGUAGUAACUGGCCUUUAUUUGACGGUAAUCAACCAGAAAGUCACGGCUAACUACGUGCCAGCAGCCGCGGUAAUACGUAGGUGGCAAGCGUUGUCCGGAUUUAUUGGGCGUAAAGCGAGCGCAGGCGGAAAAAUAAGUCUAAUGUGAAAGCCCUCGGCUUAACCGAGGAACUGCAUCGGAAACUGUUUUUCUUGAGUGCAGAAGAGGAGAGUGGAACUCCAUGUGUAGCGGUGGAAUGCGUAGAUAUAUGGAAGAACACCAGUGGCGAAGGCGGCUCUCUGGUCUGCAACUGACGCUGAGGCUCGAAAGCAUGGGUAGCGAACAGGAUUAGAUACCCUGGUAGUCCAUGCCGUAAACGAUGAGUGCUAAGUGUUGGGAGGUUUCCGCCUCUCAGUGCUGCAGCUAAACGCAUUAAGCACUCCGCCU